UGAUGUGGAUGUGGCAGCGGAGCCUGGUGAGGCUGAUGACCUCGCCGGACGGUUCGACCCUGGCUGCGGCGG
rnacentral:tRNA from 1 species